GUAUUUGCAUCGGUACCAAUAAGGUAUAUUGCGAAAAGGUGUGCCCUGACUGGACAAAUCUUCCAGUUCCGGCCGGAUGCCAACUCAAACAGCCGGCCCCUGGGAAGUGCUGCAAGGAGCUAGACUGUAGCGGGAUGACCCCGCCCCCGUAAACAGCAUCCUGGAGCAUCCGGCAGACAGAUCCGUUCAUCCAAAUGCCACUCAGUCCAAAAAUCUUGAGUUGACAAGGGAACUUCAACUGGACGGAGUGAAAGAAAUGGAUUUAACUUUAAGUAACUGUUGUUUCCAGUAGUUAUAGAGGGGCGUAUAUGAAGUUACAAUUGGAGCAACAUUCACAAAUGGUCUUGUCCAAAACGAACGUCAUUCAAAACAUAAUUGCCGGAUGCCUCAACUGAAAAAUUAUUCAGUUAGGUAAGGGGGGUCUCUACUUAUAUAUCUGCUGUAGCUUACGUACAUGUAGAUUAGAGCAUAUAACAUACCGAAUAAAACCUCUAACAAGUCACUUUCUGCACCCAACCACACCGCAAUCUGCUUUUAAUUCUUCGUCAGUAUUUUGCUAAAAUGUUAUUAAUUUUGAUAGUGUAGAUUGUUCUUUGAUUUCAUGGUGUUGGAUAAAAUACGGGGAAAAUUUGUGACUCAUGAACGGGUGGGGCCAAGAAAAUUCAUAUUUUUUAGAAAUAAAUGAGUUCAAUAGUUA